UGGUUCCUUAGAUCGUCUCAUCCUACUCGGAUAACUGUGGAAAAUCUAGAGCUAAUACGUGCUUACAAGCCCUGACCUCACGGGAGGGGCGCAUUUAUUAGAUCAAAAACCAAUCGGGGCUUGCCCCGUCUGCUUGGUGACUCUGGAUAACUUUUGUGCUGAUCGCAUGGCCUCUGCGCUGGCGACGUAUCUUUCAAG
rnacentral:ncRNA from 1 species